rnacentral:rRNA from 1 species
UAAGGAAUAUUGGUCAAUGGACGCAAGUCUGAACCAGCCAUGCCGCGUGGAGGAUGAAGGUCCUCUGGAUUGUAAACUUCUUUUAUCUGGGACGAAAAAAGGCUUUUCUAAGUCGACUGACGGUACCAGAUGAAUAAGCACCGGCUAACUCCGUGCCAGCAGCCGCGGUAAUACGGAGGGUGCAAGCGUUAUCCGGAUUCACUGGGUUUAAAGGGUGCGUAGGCGGGUAUGUAAGUCCGUGGUGAAAUCUCCGAGCUUAACUCGGAAACUGCCAUGGGUACUGCGUAUCUUGAAUGUUGUGGAGGUGAGCGGAAUAUGUCAUGUAGCGGUGAAAUGCUUAGAUAUGACAUAGAACACCAAUUGCGAAGGCAGCUCACUACACAAAUAUUGACGCUGAGGCACGAAAGCGUGGGGAUCAAACAGGAUUAGAUACCCUGGUAGUCCACGCCCUAAACGAUGAUUACUCGACAUACGUGAUACAC